GCCAGGUACGGUGGUGCGUGCCUGUAGUCCCAGCUACUCGGGAGGCUGAGGUGGGAGGAUCGCUUGAGCCCAGGAGUUCUGGGCUGUAGUGCGCAAUGUCAAGCGGGUGUCUGCACUAAGUUCAGCAUCAAUGUGGUGACCUCCCGGGAGCUAAACACCACCAAGUUGCCUAAGGAGGGGUGAACGGCCCGGGUCAGAAACCUCUGUGCUGAUCGGUAGUGGGAUCACACCUGUGAAUAGCCACUGCACUCCAGCCUGAGCAACACAGAGAGACCCCAUCUCU
rnacentral:SRP_RNA from 1 species